rnacentral:rRNA from 1 species
GUCUACGGCCAUGCCACACUGAACAAGCCCGACGUCUGAUCUCAGGAGCUAAGCAGGGUCGGGCCUGGUUAGGACUUGGAUGGGUGACCACCUAGGAAGAUCAGGUGCUGUAGGCA